rnacentral:sRNA from 1 species
AGAGGUGGAGCUAUCAGACCGCCACAGGCUUUCUCAGAACCCAGCUGGUCAUGUCUAGGCUUCACGGCUACAGGACAGAGGCAGCUGAGGCCAGAGCACUUUCAAGAAGGUAAGAGUUUGGGGGAGCAGCAUGGGAUUGGGACUCCAGGAGGCACUGUGGGCUCUGAUGUCUCCCCUCUUGCUUCUAGUUGGCUACGCAGCUCCCCCCUCCCCACCCCUAUCCCGAAGCCUCCCCAUGGAUCACCCUGACUCCUCUCAGCAUGGCCCUCCCUUUGAGGGACAGAGUCAAGGUAAGGUCACCACCCCAUGCCCUCCUCAGUGACCCUCCAGGUUUCUAAUCUGGCCUAUAUCCCACUUUUCAGGUGGGAAGGAGGGAAGAGGCCCUCGCCCCCACUCCCAGCCCUGGCUAGGCGAAAGGGUGGGCUGCUCACACAUUCCCCCUUCUAUAGUGCAGCCCCCUCCCUCUCAGGAGGCCACCCCUCUCCAACAGGAAAAGCUGCUACCUGCCCAACUCCCUGCUGAAAAGGAAGUGGGUCCCCCUCUCCCUCAGGAAGCUGUCCCCCUCCAAAAAGAGCUGCCCU